rnacentral:tRNA from 1 species
UCGUUAUUAGUUUAUAAAAUAUCUUGUUUCCAACUAGAUGAUCUCAAAAUAUUUUGAGAUAACGAA